UUCCAGGGGAGCCGGGCUGAGACAGCCAGCAGGGCUGAACCCUUUGAACCUGAUCCGGGUCAUGCCGGCGAAGGAACGGG
rnacentral:ncRNA from 1 species